rnacentral:rRNA from 1 species
CUACGGGAGGCAGCAGUGGGGAAUUUUGGACAAUGGGCGAAAGCUGAUCCAGCAAUGCCGCGUGUGUGAAGAAGGCUUUCGGGUUGUAAAGCACUUUUGUCCGGAAAGAAAUGGCUCUGGUUAAUACCGGGGGUCGAUGACGGUACCGGAAGAAUAAGGACCGGCUAACUACGUGCCAGCAGCCGCGGUAAUACGUAGGGUCCAAGCGUUAAUCGGAAUUACUGGGCGUAAAGCGUGCGCAGGCGGUUGUGCAAGACCGAUGUGAACUCCCCGAGCUUAACUUGGGAAUUGCAUUGGUGACUGCACGGCUAGAGUGUGUCAGA